rnacentral:rRNA from 1 species
AGUGAACGCUGGCGGUAGGCCUAACACAUGCAAGUCGAACGGCAGCACAGUAAGAGCUUGCUCUUACGGGUGGCGAGUGGCGGACGGGUGAGGAAUACAUCGGAAUCUACUUUUUCGUGGGGGAUAACGUAGGGAAACUUACGCUAAUACCGCAUACGACCUACGGUUGAAAGCAGGGGAUCUUCGGACCUUGCGCGAUUGAAUGAGCCGAUGUCGGAUUAGCUAGUUGGCGGGGUAAAGGCUCACCAAGGCGACGAUCCGUAGCUGGUCUGAGAGGAUGAUCAGCCACACUGGAACUGAGACACGGUCCAGACUCCUACGGGAGGCAGCAGUGGGGAAUAUUGGACAAUGGGCGCAAGCCUGAUCCAGCCAUACCGCGUGGGUGAAGAAGGCCUUCGGGUUGUAAAGCCCUUUUGUUGGGAAAGAAAAGCAGCAGGUUAAUACCCCGCUGUUCUGACGGUACCCAAAGAAUAAGCACCGGCUAACUUCGUG